GUAAUAUGCACUAGUGGAUUGCCGCGCGGGCGACGGUACAAUACUUUUUCACGUGCUGCAUACCUUUUCUCUUUGUCUCCGUAUUUAGCCAAAAACAGAUCUACAGUUGAAUUUGUUAUGCCAGUUCCUUUUUUGUUGGGUUCUGUAUCAACAAAUUGAAACAGCAUUCAAGAAUACCUUGAUGUUGCUGCUGAUUAUGAAGCAACAGAUGUAUCGGUUAGCUAUUGGAGUCACCUAUAUGCUCUUCAGCAAGGAUUUAGUCUAUUAAAAGAUAAAGAAGACCUGGAAUUUUCAUGUGAUCCAUUGAAAUGGCUUGGCAGAAAGAAAAAAGAACUGAGGUCGCUGAAGAACAAGCUCCACAAACAAAUCUUAUGAUACAGUAUAUGUGAUCUAGCUGAGGCUCAACUUCCUGUUGAAAAUGUUGCUCAUAAUCUUUUAACCUGGGCUGAAAGCAGAUUCCAGUUAUGCCCUAUUAAUCGGUUCAACAAAAUUGUUGUUGGGACAUUCUUCAGUGCCAAAAUAUUGCUGGAUGUGUGCCCAAUCUUUGGCGAGCUAAACAAAGAAAUGGCCAAAAACAAAAAGUAUUUC